ACUGAAUGGGCUAGGGCAUACACCAAUGUACCAAACCCUAUCAAACUCCGAAUACCUAGUGUGUAAUCAUGGCAGUCAGGCGGCGAGUGAUAAAAUCCGUCGUCGAGAGGGGAACAACCCAGACUAACAGCUAAGGUCCCUAAAUCUCAUUUAAGUGGAAAACGAUGUGGAGUUACUUAAACAACCAGGAGGUUGGCUUAGAAGCAGCCAUCCUUUAAAGAAAGCGUAAUAGCUCACUGGUCUAGUGAUUCUGCGCGGAAAAUAUAACGGGGCUAAAAUGAGUACCGAAGCUUUAGACUUAGUUUUACUAAGUGGUAGGAGAGCGUUGCAUUCAGCGUCGAAGGUGUACCGGUAAGGAGCGCUGGAGCGAAUGCAAGUGAGCAUGCAGGCAUGAGUAGCGAUAAUUGGGGUGAGAAUCCCCAACGCCGUAAACCCAAGGUUUCCUACGCGAUGCUCGUCAUCGUAGGGUUAGCCGGGUCCUAAGCAAAGUCCGAAAGGGGUAUGCGAUGGAAAAUUGGUUAAUAUUCCAAUGCCAACUAUAAUGUGCGAUGGAAGGACGCUUAGAGUUAAGCAAGCUAGCGGAUGGUAGUGCUAGUCGAAAGGUGUAGGUUAAGAUCCAGGCAAAUCCGGAUCUUUUUAAGCCGAGACCCCACAGGCGUUUGAAGUUCUUCGGAAUGGAUAGCGAAUUGCUGAUACUGUCGAGCCAAGAAAAGUUUCUAAGUUUAGUUAUAGUUGCCCGUACCGUAAACCGACACAGGUGGGUGGGAUGAGUAUUCUAAGGCGCGUGGAAGAACUCUCUUCAAGGAACUCUGCAAAAUAGCACCGUAUCUUCGGUAUAAGGUGUGCCUAACUUUGUUAAGGAUUUACUCCGUAAGCAUUGAAGGUUACAACAAAGAGUCCCUCCCGACUGUUUACCAAAAACACAGCACUCUGCUAACUCGUAAGAGGAUGUAUAGGGUGUGACGCCUGCCCGGUGCUCGAAGGUUAAUUGAUGACGUUAGCUCUGCGAAGCGUUUGAUCGAAGCCCGAGUAAACGGCGGCCGUAACUAUAACGGUCCUAAGGUAGCGAAAUUCCUUGUCGAUUAAAUAUCGACCUGCAUGAAUGGCGUAACGAGAUGGGAGCUGUCUCGAAGAGGGAUCCAGUGAAAUUGUAGUGGAGGUGAAAAUUCCUCCUACCCGCGGCAAGACGGAAAGACCCCGUGGACCUUUACUACAGCUUGACACUGCUAUUGGGAUAAAAAUGUGCAGGAUAGGUGGGAGGCUUUGAUCCAUAGACGCCAGUUUAUGGUGAGCCGUUGUUGAGAUACCACUCUUUUUUAUUCUGAUAGCUAACUAGCUUGAGUUAUCCUCAAGUAGGACAAUGUCUGGUGGGUAGUUUGACUGGGGCGGUCGCCUCCCAAAAUGUAACGGAGGCUUACAAAGGUUGGCUCAGAACGGUUGGAAAUCGUUCGUAGAGUAUAAAGGCAUAAGCCAGCUUAACUGCAAGACAUACACGUCAAGCAGAGACGAAAGUCGGUCUUAGUGAUCCGGUGGUUCUGUGUGGAAGGGCCAUCGCUCAAAGGAUAAAAGGUACCCCGGGGAUAACAGGCUGAUCUCCCCCAAGAGCUCACAUCGACGGGGAGGUUUGGCACCUCGAUGUCGGCUCAUCGCAUCCUGGGGCUGUAGUCGGUCCCAAGGGUUGGGCUGUUCGCCCAUUAAAGCGGUACGCGAGCUGGGUUCAGAACGUCGUGAGACAGUUCGGUCCCUAUCUGCCGUGGGCGUAAGAAGAUUGAGGAGAGUUGACCCUAGUACGAGAGGACCGGGUUGAACCGACCACUGGUGUACCGGUUGUUCUGCCAAGAGCACCGCCGGGUAGCUAAGUCGGGAUGCGAUAAGAGCUGAAAGCAUCUAAGCUCGAAGCCGACUCCAAGAUGAAUCUUCUUUUAAGAGCUCUAGUAGACUACUAGUUUGAUAGGCCGGAUGUGUAAUGGAUGAAAGUCCUUUAGCUGACCGGUACUAAUAGCUCGUUUGCUUAUCUUUU
rnacentral:rRNA from 1 species